rnacentral:rRNA from 2 species
UCUGCAAUAGGCGAAAGCUUGACAGGGUUACUCUGAGUGAUUUCCGUUAAGAAGAUCUUUUGACACCUCUAAAAAUGGUGUAGAAUAAGGGGUGGGCAAGUCUGGUGUCAGCCGCCGCGGUAAUACCAGCACCCCGAGUGGUCGGGACGUUUAUUGGGCCUAAAGCAUCCGUAGCCGGUUCUACAAGUCCCCCGUUAAAUCCACCUGCUUAACAGAUGGGCUGCGGAAGAUACUAUAAGACUAGGAGGCGGGAGAGGCAAGCGGUACUCGAUGGGUAGGGGUAAAAUCCGUUGAUCCAUUGAAGACCACCAGUGGCGAAGGCGGCUUGCCAGAACGCGCUCGACGGUGAGGGAUGAAAGCUGGGGGAGCAAACCGGAUUAGAUACCCGGGUAGUCCCAGCUGUAAACGAUGCAGACUCGGUGAUGGAUUGGCUUAUUGCUAAUCCAGUGCCGCAGGGAAGCCGUUAAGUUUGCCGCCUGGGUAGUACGGUCGCAAGACUGAAACUUAAA